UCUCACCAACCGCAGGGAGGACGGCGCGGGGAGGCCAGGGGCGCGGGAGGCCGAGGGCCUCGCAGUGUGCGAGGGCCGCGCCCGGGGAAGCCCCGCCACACGCAGCGCGGUGCCCCCACGUGGGAACGAGGGUCGCAUAGAAUUGCUUAGUGCCUCACUUUUGCCAAGGCUGGCUUUGAAUUCGUGAUCCUCCUGUCUCAGCCUCCCCAGUCACUGGGAUUACAGCUGUGUAGCACUGAGCCCAGCACCCACAGGAUUGAACUCAGGGCCUUUCAUAGGCAUACCAUCUUUCAAUCUAUGCAUUUACUAUUGAUGUUAUUCAAAAACAGAGAGAGUGGAGGAUGCCUAAGCACCAGGAGAGGACAGCUGGGACCCCAGACUCCCUCCCCCUUGCACUCCUGGCGUCUCCUGCAGGACCCCGUGUGGACUCCACAGCCGACCAACCCCGUGAGAACCGCACGAGGCUUUCCCAGGCUCCUCUGCAAGGCCUGUCCUGAGGAAACCGCUGAGUCCACCACACAUCUGAUCGAUCCCCAGCACCACAAAGAAACGAAACGAAAGCCAAGAACCUGCUCCCACAGUUUGACUCGCUCUGGGGAAGGGCAGCAACCAGGCCAGGGGCCAGCAAGAAGGGAGCAGGCUUGGGGACUGUCCCUUUGGUGGGAAUGGCUGGGACCUUGGAACGGCCACGUUGGCACAGCCUGGGGCUUGGAAGUCAAACAGGUCCUGUUUAGAGGGCCAAGGGGAGGGUCCCCAAGAGCUGGGCAUUUCUCUGGAGGAGGGGGUCUUUCUACUUUUCUGCAUUUUCCGAUUCUUCUUGAAUAUGUUUGCUACUAAUUUUACAACAGGA